rnacentral:lncRNA from 1 species
GCCUCCCGGCCCUCCCCAUCUGGCACUGCAUGGUCACCGCAGCUACCCGGACACUCCCGGACCUCCCGGACCUAGGCACCUCGAGGUGUCAGCGCUGCUCUGCUCUACAACGGUCGCCCCAAGCGACAACCACAAUGCUCUGUGUGGGAGUGAGACCCGGCCUCCGCCAGGUGAGAGAACAGGGCGACUCUAUCUCGGAUGCGAGGGCGGCACUUUCAGGGAUCUCAGCACAGCGGUUUUUUGUUUUUUGUUUUUUGUUUUUUUCUCCGAGCCCAGGGACCAGGAAGUGGCAGAGACUGUGGGAGUCAGUGGGCCAGCGUUCCCCCUGGGUAGGUGUAUGGAAACUGCAAACACGGUUGCAUCAGGAGAUCUUUCAGGAAGACCUGCCUUUGCUUUUUCCUCUGCUGCUAAUUUGAAGCAAGAGUCCUUUGCUCCCAGAGUCAGGCUGCACUCCGAACCAUUGUUGGAUCAGUCUGGAAACUGUUGCUGAGGAAGUCUGGAAACUGUGGCUGACCCAUUGUCCUUGCUUCCUACCAGCUGGUGGUACAGCUUCUGAUGGCAGGGCAGUUUCUGACUGGCUGCCUGAGGUCUGGAGUUUUUUCAGUAACUGAAUUGCCCAGUUCUUGGAAACAGAGAUUUAGGCCUAGUCUCCUGUACUGCCAGUUUGAAGCCUGUUCUGGAUUCAGCCUGUCUCAGAGGAAAAUGAAGAAGGACACUUUCUGGAAGUUAUAUAUCACAUCUGCAGACAUCUCAAAAGCCAGACUCCAUUUACAUCUGGUUAAAGAAUGAUUAUAGUGUUUAAAAGAUUGCUUCAAAUCCAUGUCUUCAAGAGGAUCACUAAUAAUGCAGAAUUUAAAUAUUAAAGAGAAGCAGACUAAAUUGUAUCUGAAAUACAGUUAUCAAUGAUGACAGCUUAGAAGCGAAGAGAAACUCUCAGUGAUGGAGAUUGAGAGUGCACUGCUGCUGUUGGUCUAGGCAGCUUCUCUCUGUCAGAACUGUAUUAUAGCAGGGAUAUUUCUAUUUGAGAUGCGGUGUCUUCUUGUUCAGAGGUUAGGGUAGAUAGACCUUUGAGUAACAGGGGUCUUGAAAAUUUUUUGUUUGCCAAAGUUAUUUUAAUGAGGAGGAAGAAAAAAUUUCUCUCUGCUUUAUCACAGGGGUAUGUUGCAGUAGGUACGUGUUGAACGAUGUUCCUGUAAAUGUUUAAGCUUUUUGUCCUAGGCUUACUUUGUAUUGAGGUACCCUGGUGAUGCUACUUCAGGGUGCUUCAGAUUUUCUUCAUUUUAAGUCUGGAAAGCACUUGAAGUCACAGAGUAACAUAUAAAGCCUUGCACAGAGCAGACAAGGAGAUGCAGGCCUUUAAUCCCAGCACUGUGGGAGUGUGGGGGGCAGGGUACAGAGGUAGGUGGCUGUCUCAGUUAGGAUUUCUAUUCCUGCACAAACAUCAUGAUGAAGAAGCAGGUUGGGGAGGAAAACAUUUAUUCAGCUUAUACUUCCCACAUUGCUGUUCAUCACCAAAAGUCAGGGCUGUAAUUCAAGUACAUCAGGAAGCACAAACUGAUGCACAGGCCAUGGAGGGAUGUUGCUUACUGGUUUACUUCCUCUGCCUUGCUCAGCUUGCUUUCUUAUAGAACCUAUGACUACCAGCCCAGGGAUGGCACCACCCACAACGGGCCCUCUCCACUUGAUCACUAAUUGAGAAAAUGCCUUUUAGCUGGAUCUCAUGGAGGCAUUUCCUCAACUGAGGCUCCUUUCUCUGUGAUAACUCCAGCCUGUGUCAAGUUGACACACAAAACCAGCCAGUACAGUGGCUCUCUGUGUAUUUGAGACCAACAUGGACUACAUAGUGAGUUUCAGGCCUCAUAGGACUUUAUACUUAAACAUUGUCUAGCAAAUAAAUAACAACAAUCCACAAAUUAAUGCACAGAAAAAAUUUGCACUUAUGUGAAAUUUUUGAGAAAAAUAGUUCUGUAGUGAUCAAUAUAUUUCUAAGUGUUAUAUGAUCCAUUUGCAACUCUCCCCCCAAAACUAUAUUAUUUGGUCCUAAGUCAGUAGAUCUUAAUUCUAACUAUGGUUAUAAUAUUACUUAUAAAGAACUUUAUGAACUUUCUUUAUCAUUGAAAAUGUCAUCCUUACAGAGGGAAUAAGAGAACAAAGAGUUUCUCAGGGGUAAAGAGUUUCUCUUAUAUUAUCUCUCCUUGCUCUUUAAUGUUUGACAGUAGCAGUUCUUGCAUAGUGUAAAACAUGAAGUAGAGAUUGUGUAAACAGUACAAAGAUGGUGGCGGUGCAUGCAACUCUGUAUCCAGUUGAUGGGUGGAGAUAGGAGGCUUGGGAGUUCAAGAUCAUUCUCUGCUACAUAUCAAGGUUGAGGACCACUUGCAUUAUACAACAUCUUGCUUCAAAAAAAUUAGAGAAAGGGAAGGAUAUGGGAUAGGGGAGAGAGAGAGAGCUAUAGUGAAAGAGAGAGUAUGCAAAUGGCAUUGGCUCAUGUACUAAAAUUAUUAAAGUACCACAGUCAGUACAUAUUAUUUAGUUAUAUGUAGAAGGUAUAAAGAACCAAGAAGAUAUUAGUAGUAUUUGUUAAGGUCUUUUUGUUUUUGUUUGUUUUCUAAAAUAUUACCUCUCUUUGUGUCAUAGCUACAGAUUUACUGCUGUGAACAGACGCCAUGGCCAAGGCAAGUCUUAUAAAUAACAACCUUUAAGUGGGGCUGACUUACAGGUUCAGAGGUUCAGUCCAUCAUCCAGGCAGUCAUGGUGCAGGAGAAACUCAGAGUUCUACAUCUUCAUCUGAAGGCUGCUAGCAGAAUACUGGUUUCCAGGCAGCCCAGGGUCUUAAAGCCAAUGCCCACAGUGACACACCUACUCCAACAGGGCCACACCUCCCAGAAGUGCCACUUCCUGAACCAAACAUAUGCAAACCAUAACACUCUCUUUCAAAGGAAAAUGACUUCUGCCCUGUUCAGUGUUGCUCACAUCAGUAGGCAGUCUCACCAAGCUAGAAACUCCAGGACAACCUUGACUACUCAUUGCCCCUACCUUAUGUGUGAUAGUUGCUUUUAUGAUUCAACUUGAUUGCACCAUAGGAUGCUCAGAUCACUCUGGACAAGUACCCUUCUGCCGGGUUUCUGUUUCUACACAAUGUUAACAUUUCAAUAAGUGAAGCUGAAUGAAGUAGAUGGGGUUUUUUCCAAUAUAAGUGCACAUUAAUCCAUCACCAGAAGGCUUGAAUGGAAUUAAAACCCAGUCUCCUGUGACCAAGGGUAUACUCUUGGAGACUGCCUUCAGACUUCAAUGGAACACCAGAUUUCUGGGUCUCUACCAGCCACCCAGUAAAAGUUUGGGACUUGUUAAUCUCUAUAGUGAAGGAGGUCAUUUCUUAGACCAUAUUUUACUUACAUACUCCACCUCCCCAGACCACUUUGGUUCCCACUUUUGAUAUACUAAUAUAUCAUAUUAAUUCAUCAAUGAGUAUGUUUUAUUCUGAUUCCAAAAUGUAUCCAACAGUCAUCUAUUUUGUUAUGUUUCUACUGCCAUUAAAUUCUAAAAGUCGCAAAUCUCCCUCUAAAUGACGAUAAUAGCCUCUGCUACAACGAAAUAUGGAAGGUUUGACAAAGCUAUCAGUGGUAAUAAUUUGGUUUCCAGAUUGUUGCUAGUGGGAUAUGAUGAAAGACUUGGGAGCCAGUAGACAUGACACAUGGUUAAGAGGAGGCUGAUGUUUCUCCGCACUGUGAAGCAAGGACUGAUUUUGCACUCUUUCCUAUGAGCACCGGUCUCAGCACAAGGUUAUAGGCAAUGAGGCCAUCCAACCAUGGACAGAAAUCUCAAAAACUGUGAAACAAAAUAAACAUUGUUCAUCAUAA